rnacentral:pre_miRNA from 1 species
GUAGUCAUUGAUUCAGAAGACACGUUGAUAGAUCUGUCACUGGGUUAAUGACCGCCA